UACGGAGGUGACCAGCGUUGUCCGGAUUUACUGGGCGUAAAGAGCGCGCAGGCGGUCGUUCAAGUCGAGUGUGAAAGCCCCCGGCUCAACUGGGGAGGGUCACUCGAUACUGAUCGACUUGAAGGCAGGAGAGGGAAGCGGAAUUCCCGGUGUAGUGGUGAAAUGCGUAGAUAUCGGGAGGAACACCUGCGGCGAAGGCGGGUUGCUGGGCUGAUACUGACGCUGAGGCGCGAAAGCCAGGGGAGCGAACGGG
rnacentral:rRNA from 1 species